rnacentral:rRNA from 1 species
UACGGAGGGGGCUAGCGUUGUUUCGGAAUACUGGGCGUAAAGCGCGCGUAGGCGGACCUGCAAGUCGGGGGGUGAAAGCCCGAGGCUCAACCUCGGAACUGCCUUCGAUACUGCGGGUCUCGAGUCCGGGAGAGGUGAGUGGAAUUCCUAGUGUAGAGGUGAAAUUCGUAGAUAUUAGGAAGAACACCAGUGGCGAAGGGCGGCUCACUGGCCCCGGGUACUGACGCUGAGGCGCGGAAAAGCGUGGGGGAGCAAACAGGG